rnacentral:rRNA from 1 species
AUGAACGCUAGCGAUAGGCUUAACACAUGCAAGUCGAGGGGCAGCAUGGUCUUAGCUUGCUAAGACUGAUGGCGACCGGCGCACGGGUGCGUAACGCGUAUGCAACUUGCCUCACAGAGGGGGAUAACCCGUCGAAAGACGGACUAAUACCGCGUACACUCCAUCUUGGGCAUCCAAGGUAGAGGAAAUGAAAUUCGCUGUGAGAUAGGCAUGCGUCCCAUUAGCUAGUUGGUGAGGUAACGGCUCACCAAGGCGACGAUGGGUAGGGGAACUGAGAGGUUGAACCCCCACACUGGUACUGGGACACGGACCAGACUCCUACGGGAGGCAGCAGUGAGGAAUAGUGGUCAAUGGGCGAGAGCCUGAACCAGCCAAGUCGCGUGAAGGAUGACUGUCUUAUGGAUUGUAAACUUCUUUUAGACGGGAAUAACAAGAGUCACGUGUGACUCCCUGCAUGUACCGUAUGAAUAAGCAUCGGCUAACUCCGUG